rnacentral:rRNA from 1 species
UACAGAGGUCUCAAGCGUUGUCCGGAAUUACUGGGCGUAAAGGGCUCGUAGGCGGCCAACUAAGUCAGACGUGAAAUCCCUCGGCUUAACCGGGGAACGGCGUCUGAUACUGGAUGGCUUGAGUUCGGGAGAGGGAUGCGGAAUUCCAGGUGUAGCGGUGAAAUGCGUAGAUAUCUGGAGGAACACCGGUGGCGAAGGCGGCAUCCUGGACCGAGACUGACGCUGAGGAGCGAAAGCCAGGGGAGCAAACGGG